UCAAGAAAGCAUUCACCACCCACUGCAGGUGGGGUCUGUGUGGAUGGAGCCCGGGCUGGCCGAUGGAAGGAUGAGGCAGCACUACCCUUACCUUGUUCAGUCUCCCCUACUUCCUUUCCCUCUGAUCUUGCCAGUAUGGUAAAUGGUUUUGCUAGAGUUUUACAGAAAGCAGAGCAGUGAUGAGGCCAGGCUGGAUGAGCGUGGACCAUGCUGCUGGCUGAACAUGGAUGCAGAUGUUGGUGGUUUGUCAAGCACACGGAAAAACAGCUCAGUUUCUGCAGAUGCAAGGAAAUAGAAUAUCUGAGGAAAUUACAAAGAGUAGAAGCAAAUGAAAGAUCUCUUUCAAUAACUUGCAAGGUUACAGAAAACAAGGAUAUUCAUGAACCUGCUAAAGCGGAAUGCAAAGCAAGGAGAUUGUAUUUACUUUAACAAGAAAGCUUUCUUUUUGUCUCUUUGUAUUUAACCUCCAAUUAUUUGCAUUGCCUCCUGUGGCAACAAAUUAAAUCCUUUGGAAAUGUG